rnacentral:lncRNA from 1 species
CUCUGAGCGCGCCCCUACCCGGCUCGGGCCCGCAGCAGCCCGGACUGUCCGAGAGCCUCCCCGCAAGCAAGGCUGUGCGCCUCCCUCUGAGCGCACCUCCUGGCCACAACGCCGCCUGCGCUUCUCCAGCCCAGGCCGGAAGCCCUAUGCUGCCUUCCGAAGCCGGACUUUCUGGAAGCCCACCUCCAUAUGCUCACCAGCCCACCCUCCUACGCUGGUCAGAGUGAGAUUGCUAACCUCAAGACCCCAUUCAAUGCCAGCUUUCAACUACUGCUGAAGACCAAUGUAGGUCCCAGGAUAGAAGAACCGCAGAGUCUUGGCUUUUGCUUUUGUGUGUCCACCUCAAGCAGAUCCGGAGCUGGCCGACCCCAGACUGAUUCUCAACAGGUGGCUGGAGGCAGACAAAAGCUACCACGUCCACUUGGAGUGACGCCCAGACAUGCACACAGGAAGCCAAGGAGAGUGGGCUCAACCAGAGUACAGUACUUCCUGCAAGAUGCCCAGU